rnacentral:rRNA from 2 species
GCGACCAUAGCAAGAGUGAACCACCUGAUCCCUUCCCGAACUCAGAAGUGAAACCUCUUAGCGCUGAUGGUAGUGUGGGAUUACCCAUGUGAGAGUAAGUCAUCGCCAGCUC